rnacentral:rRNA from 1 species
GACGAACGCUGGCGGCGUGCUUAACACAUGCAAGUCGAACGGAAAGGCCCUGCUUGCAGGGUACUCGAGUGGCGAACGGGUGAGUAACACGUGGGUGAUCUGCCCUGCACUUCGGGAUAAGCUUGGGAAACUGGGUCUAAUACCGGAUAGGAGCCAUCUUUAGUGUGGUGGUUGGAAAGUUUUUUCGGUGUAGGAUGAGCUCGCGGCCUAUCAGCUUGUUGGUGGGGUAAUGGCCUACCAAGGCGGCGACGGGUAGCCGGCCCGGGAGGGUGUACGGGCACAGUGGGACUGGGAUACGGCCCAGGCCCCGACGGGUGGGAGCAGUAGGGGAUGGUGCAAUAUGGGCGGGAGCCUGAGGCAGCUGCGGCGCGGGGGGGAUGGAGGGCUUCGGGUUGGAAAUUUCAUUCGCUUGGGACGAAGCUUUUUGUGACGGUACCUAGAGAAGAAGCUCCGGCUAACUACGUG